CAAAGUUAUGGCCGUUUAAAGUGGGUGUAAAAUUUCGGCCAAAAUUCUGAUUUUCUCUCCCAUUGGGGGAGUCCCACAUCGCCCAUGUGAGGGCAGUGAGCAAGCAAUUUUUCCUAUAAAAUCCACAUUCCCCCAGCUGAGAAAAUCCUAGCUUGAUUGGCCUUUGGGUUAUGAUCAAGUGAAGUAUAUGUUGAGUUUCUCAACAUAUUUAAGUAUUUUUUAAUAUUAUGUUGUGAUAUUUAUUGAAAAUAUUGAAAAUAUCGUGAUAUUAUCGAUAAUAUUGCGAUAUUUUGACGAAAAUUAUUUGGAUAGUUAAAAAAAUUUUAGAUCUUCAAAAAAACGAUAAUAUCGGUGAUAUUUCGCCGCUAGUAUCGAUAUUUAAAUCCUUACCUUCAGUAAUCAGGCGGAUUAUGUUCAAGAAUACAGCAGCUAUGUGGGAUUUAUGAGGGAUGGAGCACAGUGGUUUGUGGAGAACACAGACAUUAAACUUGUUGGAAUUGAUUACUUAUCCGCUGCUGCAUAUGAUGAUUUGAUUCCAUCCCACCUUGUUUUCUAGAAGGCAGGGAAAUGAUGACCCCCUCCAAGGAGAAAUAGCAUGGAAUAGGACGCCACGAGAGCUUGGUCUUUCAGCUUAUGCUCUUCAACAACUUGGUGGUUCACAUGCUGCUACACCAAACCAAAUUAGAGAAUUAAUGAAGGUUGAUGGGCUUACUAAUGAUGAAGUCAAAAGCCAUUUGCAGGGCACAUUUUGAGCUUUCGCACUGGGCACCAAAAAACUCAGGACCGGCCCUGUCAGGAAAGGAUCCAAAUCCGGCUGAAAAAGCUGGGGUGUUCCACCAGCUUCCUUGCUCUUCUUUUCCUCUUCUGGACUCUUCAUUUCCUUAUUUUCCAUCGACUUCUCAGUUUCUAUCUCGCAACCAGCUACAACACCGAUUCACCCUCCAUUUCUCCCGCUUAGCAAAAGAAAAUCAAAGGGGUUCACUAGCAUGGGUUCCGUCGGAUUCCAUAGACAAGGACGUGGUGACCGGAAAUCAUGGUUCUUCGGAUUUGGGGCUUUUGUUUGCAGCCUUCAAAUCCCUAUCUAGUUAAGGGGGUAGGAAGAAUUGGAGAAAAUGAUGAGGGAGAAGAUCAAGAUCAGGAAGAUCGACUACUUGCGAGCAAGGCAGGUGACCUUCUCAAAGAGGAGAAGAGGGGAUUUGAAGAAAGCUGGAGAGCUAUGGAUUCUGUGUGAAUCUGAAGCUGUUGUUAUCAUCUUUUCCCAAACUGGCAAGCUCUUUAAUUUCUCAAGCUCCAGGUACGGAUUUUAUGGGAGGCGUCUAGAAAGUUCAACUUUGAUGAGUCGAAAGCACGGGAUGCUAAGGAUCGACUUGAAACAGUUGCCUCGCAGGCUCAAAAGGGUGUGCCAACUCAUCAGCCGAGCUCGGGCGAGGAGUAAAAUGUGUUGAUGUCGCGUUGGGCACGAUGCUGACUUCUCGAUCUUGCGACUGUGGCCGAGGAAGAAACACAUCUCGACCUUCGGGUUCUAGAGCCUGAAGACAAGGUUGCUAGUUCUGCAAAGUUCAAUUCCAAAUCCGGCUUUCAAUGUGCCAAAUGUAGUAACCUAGUAACACCUCACUUCACCGAGAAGGCUAAUGAGAUAACCUCUACCAACAAGGACUCGGAAAUCCUUGUUGACCAAGACUUGGAUAAAUAACCAGUCGAUCUCAAAGCAGUGUUGUCUAUCCAAACUAAAAGUGCUUCUCGAUCGGCUGAUUCUACAGCUCCAGUGCUGUUUAUCCAAACUGAAAAUGUCACCGGUUGCCUUCACAGUGCUAUUUAUUCAAAUUGAAGAUGUGUUAGUGAGAAGAAAUGGGAAAAGGAUAAAAUUCUCAGAGUUGUUAAGAAGCUUUGCACAGAGCAAUUUGUGUGUUGAAUUGGAUGGCUUUUUUAUGUUGCCACUA